UACGUAGGCAGCGAGCGUUGUUCGGAGUUACUGGGCGUAAAGGGUGUGUAGGCGGUUCUUUAAGUUUAGUGUGAAAUCUCCCGGCUCAACCGGGAGGGUGCGCUGAAUACUGAGGGACUAGAGUGCGGCAGAGGGGGGUGGAAUUCCACGUGUAGCGGUGAAAUGCGUAGAUAUGUGGAGGAACACCGAUGGCGAAGGCAGCCCCCUGGGUCGACACUGACGCUCAUGCACAAAAGCGUGGGGAGCAAACAGG
rnacentral:rRNA from 1 species